rnacentral:rRNA from 1 species
CCCUUAGAUGUUCUGGGCCGCACGCGCGCUACACUGAUGCAUUCAACGAGUCUAAAACCUGCUCUGAUAGGGGUGGGUAAUCUUUUGAAUGUGCAUCGUGAUUGGGAUAGAUGAUUGCAAUUUUUCAUCUUCAACGAGGAAUGCCUAGUAAACGUAAGUCAUCAGCUUGCAUUGAUUACGUCCCUGCCCUUUGUACACACCGCCCGUCGCUCCUACCGAUUGAAUGAUCCGAUGAAUAUCAUGGAUUGAGGAUGCAAGUAGGUUAGCCUAUCUUCAUCUUCGAGAAGUGAAGUAAAUCUUAUCAUUUAGAGGAAGGAGAAGUCGUAACA